rnacentral:rRNA from 1 species
GAAGGGGCUAGCGUUGCCCGGAAUCACUGGGCGUAAAGCGCACGUAGGCGGAUUGUUAAGUCAGGGUGAAUCCUGGAGCUCAACUCCAGAACUGCCUUUGAUACUGGCGAUCUCGAGUCCGGGAGAGGUGAGUGGAACUGCGAGUGUAGAGGUGAAAUUCGUAGAUAUUCGCAAGAACACCAGUGGCGAAGGCGGCUCACUGGCCCGAUACUGACGCUGAGGCACGAAAGCGUGGG